CCACACUCGGGGUUAGGCUGCAACAUAUGAAUUUGGGGAGGACACAAACAUUCCGUCCAUAGCAAGGACUGAGGCCCCCGUCUUCUUGCUGGCUGUCAGCGUGCCCCCUCCAUCCUUCCUUCUCCCGUGCCCCUCCAACUUCACAGCAGCAGUGGCCAUCCAGCCCUUCUCCUGCUUUGUGCCUCUCAACUUCUCCUUCUGCCACCAGCCAGAGAAGGCUCUCUUCUUUUAUGGGCUCAUGUCCUCCUAUCUUAAGGUCAGCUGUCAUAGCACAACCACAGGAGUGACGCCUCAUCAUAGUCACAGGUUCAAGAGAUCAGGACAUGGAAUGGGGGAGGGGCAGUUUUAGAAUUCUGCCAAGCACAGAGGUGACACUGAGACCUAGAGCCUGAGAGGAGGUGAGUACGUGGCCAGUGGGGUUGGAGCAUUCCAGACAGCGGGCAGCAUCCUCCUUGAAGGAGGAAGAAGCUUGAUCUGGGAGAGGCACUGAGAGGCCAGCGUAGGCUGCAGGAAGGUGAGCGAUGUGGAGCAUGGUCCAAGAGGAGGACCUCCGAAUGUGACUGGAUCAGGUGAGCCCUGAUCUGUUCAGCUGGUGUCCUCAUAGAGAGAGUUAGGACGCAGGCACACACAGAGGGAUGACCGCGUGGAGACAUCAGAAGAUCCACCUACCAGGCGAGGAGAGAAGCCGGAGAAGAACCUGACUUGUCGAUGCCUUGAUCUGGGACUUCCGGCCCCCAGAACUGCUCUCGGCAGUGUUGUCGAAUUGUUUUCCCGGCUCACCCGUGCUCACAGCUCAGUACAUUCCCUCGGAUGAUGUUGGCACCUGUGAGACCCCAUCACACAGCCACCUCAUUUGCCAGUUCCUCCGCACUGGCUCCUGAUCCAGCAGGCAGCUGGCCACAGGCAGGUGACCCCAAAGUCCUGUGAUGCAGCUGAAAAGAGAGCCAUGGAAAGGCAGCCACAGCUCCACCGAAACUCUCAGAGGAGACGCUGCUCUGAAUAGACAGCUUCAGGCAGAAAAGGACCCUGCUGGACACGUUACCUCCGCGUUCCGCUCUGGGACGCUUAACUCCUUCCUUGGGCCGCCUGGAGACGGCCAGGGAGAGCGCCUGGGCCCAAAGGACUCUUGGGUCUUUGCUGCCUUCAUUACUGCUUAUAAAAGCUAGUAAACAGAUGGUUUGGUUUAAAGAAAAUAUGCAGCUGGGGUUAUUAAAAAGAAAAAAAAGAAAGCAGAAGAAUGAAGAGAGGAAAGGGAAAAGCAAGAAGGCUUGUCCGCAGCAGGAACGGUGACAGCUCGUAAAUCCCAACACCGCGGGCUCCGCGUGUGUCUCUGGUUGGGGUGACGCCGUCCUCACCGAGCUGGUCUGUCCUGAAAGAAGACCAAAUAAAACCAACCUCG
rnacentral:lncRNA from 1 species